GGGUUUGAUCCUGGCUCAGAACGAACGCUGGCGGCGUGGAUUAGGCAUGCAAGUCGUGCGCGAAACUUCGCUUCGGUGGAGAAGUAGAGCGGCGAAAGGGUGAGUAAUGCAUGGAUAACCUGCCCCCGGGAGAGGGAUAGCACCGCCCGAAAGGGCUUUAGCGAAAGUGGUGGUAAUACCUCAUGAUGCCGGCAGGCCGCAUGGUCUGCUGGUCAAAGGAGGGGAUCCUUCGGGACCUUCCGCCCGAGGAGGGGUUCAUGUCCCAUUAGCUUGUUGGUGAGGUAACGGCUCACCAAGGCGACGAUGGGUAGCCGGUCUGAGAGGACGAUCGGCCACACUGGGACUGAGACACUGCCCAGACUCCUACGGGAGGCUGCAGUCGAGAAUAUUUCACAAUGCGCGAAAGCGUGAUGACGCGACGCCGCGUGGAGGACAAGGCCUUCGGGUUGUAAGCUCCUGUGAGGGGCUAAGAAAUGCGUGGUCUUGAAUACAGACCGCGCCUGACGUCAACCCCACAGCAAGCUCCGGCUAACUUCGUGCCAGCAGCAGCGGUAAUACGGAGGGAGCAAGCGUUGUUCGGAAUUACUGGGCAUAAAGGGUGCGUAGGCGGAUGAGUAGGUCGGGCGUGAAAUCCCACAGCUCAACUGUGGAACUGCGCUUGAAACUGCUCGUCUUGAGUGGAGAAGAGGAGAGUGGAACUCCAGGUGGAGCGGUGGAAUGCGUUGAUAUCUGGAGGAACGCCGGUGGCGAAAGCGGCUCUCUGGUCUCUAACUGACGCUGAGGCACGAAAGCCAGGGUAGCAAACGGGAUUAGAUACCCCGGUAGUCCUGGCCGUAAACGAUGGGCACUGAGUGGAGGGGGUUUCGACGCUCUCUCUGCUGUAGCAAAUGCGUUAAGUGCCCCGCCUGGGGAGUACGGUCGCAAGGCUGAAACUCAAAGCAAUUGACGGGGGCUCGCACAAGCGGUGGAGCAUGUUGCUUAAUUCGAAGCAACGCGAAGAACCUUACCGGGGUUAGACUGCAGGCAGUAGAAGCCCGAAAGGGUAACGACCGGUAUCCAGUCCGGAACCUGUUCAGGUGCUGCAUGGCUGUCGUCAGCUCGUGUCGUGAGAUGUUGGGUUAAGUCCCGUAACGAGCGAAACCCUUGUCCUUAGUUGCCAGCACUUCGGGUGGGGACUCUAAGGAGACUGCCGGUGUUAAACCGGAGGAAGGUGGGGACGACGUCAAGUCAUCAUGGCCCUUACGCCCCGGGCUGCAAACGUGCUACAAUGGCCGGUACAAAGGGAUGCCAAGUCGCGAGACGGAGCAAACCCCAAAAAGCCGGUCCCAGUUCGGAUUGCAGGCUGAAACCCGCCUGCAUGAAGUUGGAAUCGCUAGUAAUCGCGAAUCAGCCACGUCGCGGUGAAUGUGUUCCCGAGCCUUGUACACACCGCCCGUCAAGCCACCCGAGUAGGGCCAACCCGAAAUCCGUGACCUAACCGUAAGGGAGGAGCGGCUGAAGGUGGGCUUUAUAAGGGGGACUAAGUCGUAACAAGGUA
rnacentral:rRNA from 1 species